CCUACGGGAGGCAGCAGUGGGGGAUAUUGCACAAUGGGGGAAACCCUGAUGCAGCGACGCCGCGUGUGGGAAGACGGUCCUCUGGAUUGUAAACCACUGUCCCCAGGGACGAAGAUGACGGUACCUGGGGAGGAAGCUCCGGCUAACUACGUGCCAGCAGCCGCGGUAAUACGUAGGGAGCGAGCGUUGUCCGGAAUUACUGGGUGUAAAGGGAGCGUAGGCGGGACUGCAAGUUGGGUGUCAAAUCUACCGGCUCAACCGGUAGCCGCACUCAAAACUGCAGUUCUUGAGGGAAGUAGAGGCAGGCGGAAAUCCUAGGGGAGCGGUGAAAUGCGUAGAUAUUAGGAGGAACACCAGGGGCGAAGGCGGCCUGAUGGGCUUGUACUGACGCUGAGGCUCGAAAGUGUGGGGAGCAAACAGGAUUAGAUACCCGGGUAGUC
rnacentral:rRNA from 1 species